rnacentral:sRNA from 2 species
CGUAUAUUUGAUCUUCUGGAUUUCGGAAAAUGCCCUUCGCUGAAUCGUUACUGGCAAUCCUCGUCCUCGGACUGGCUUUCCUCUGUACGACUGUCUUUGGGGAAUUGGAAUUAUCCGUUUCCAAGGCAAAAUUAACCCUCGGUUUUUGGGUCAGAGUUCCGUUUUUUGUGACCGAGAUGGUUUCAUUAUCCUCUGGAACUUCGACUAUCUUUGGCGAAAGAUUGGACCCGGUUGGGUCCACACGCCUUUGGAACUCGGGGCUUUCUCUGCCUGUACGACCCCCGUUCGAUGAGCUAUCCGAUGCAGAUCUGUGGCUUCUUGACUGGGAAACACACUGACUCCGUUCUUCAGAGGUCAGGGUUCAGGUAGGGAGCAUGUGGAUUAAGCUUUGGAAAGCCGGAGGUCUGGUGACUGAAUACCAAUUGCGUAGCUUCCUCCUGGGCUGCAGCAUGCAACCGCUUUUCAUCAUCUCGGAAGUCCAUUUCUUCCAAAGCUUGCCGUAACGACCGUGCUUCCUCCCGUUCCAUCCAUCUCUGGCCCCGUACUCUGUAUGUUCCCGUCGUCGACCUAACACUCGCUGCUGGAGAGAGACUUCUUGAUAAAUCAUACGAUUGUUCCGGCUCUUCUUCCAACGAUUGUUCAGUAGAUACACUUCCAUUGGAAAGUGUUGAGUUUUUUCUGUGGUGUGAUAGAGCACUCGCUGAGCGCUGAUAGGGCUCGAGGGAGCAAACACGAUGGUUUUCUGAGUCAAUGUUCAUGGAAAGUGCUGACGAUGCACGGGGCGGUAGAUCGCUCCUGAGUCUUUGGCUCGAUGAGAUGUCCUUGGUAGGAAAGGGUCGAGAUCCAUUGGGACGGGGGGGCCUAUUGGUUCGUAGGUCCUUCAGAUACGUCGCUAUUUGGUAAGAAACAGGUUAGCAUUCGUGGCUAGGUAGCUCCUUAACUGGAGCGUAGGGGACAUGCGAAGAUAUAAACAACCGCUAUCUCAUGUGGAUACAAUGCCCAUAGCUAUGGUAAGCUGGGAGGGGAACGAGAAUGAAGGACUACCGACCAAUCUGUUCCUCAUUCAUGUAACUUGGCCCUGGAGGUGAGACUUUUCGGGUCCCGUGUUUGGACCUUGAGUGUAUCAUGGUUGCUGGUAGUCUUCACUGAUAGUUGCCCUUAAUAGGGUGAGACCAGAUUAUACUAAACAAUGACGAUAUUGGGAACUAUUGAAGGCGUAAUGGUGGUUUAUAAUAUAUGGCUGGCUGACUGGGAGAUGAAGAGAACAGCGCUUGGUUGGUAGAGUAAAGCUCCGCAGAGAGCAAAUAUAUAUAAUUGUUGAAUAUGAAGGUUGU